UCCAAAGGAGGGACACUAAGAGGGUGGAGGGCUGUGAGGAGCGGCCAAGGGCAGGUGGGCAGCCUGUGUGGAGGAGGUGAGGGGAGGCCUCAGGGACCUGCUGCCUCCUCCUGAGGGGAAGAGGAGCAGACACUGAUCACUGUGAGAUUCAACUCCUGGUGGUGCGUUCCCAUUCUUCCUUUCUCGAGCAAAUGAAAACAAGAUGCUUCUGUUGAAAGAUAAAUAGACAAAAUUAGUAGAGGGUAUGAAUCCCUAUCCUUCCAUCAGGUGAUAUUUAUGAGCAAUACUUGACAUACAUAUCAUGUUUGGAGUGUUGGCUUUGCUUGGCAUUUUUGAUCUAGCAAUUUUCUGCUUGAGGAGUAACUUUGUUCUGCCUGUUUCCUCUUCUGAUGGAAAGAAUACAUUUCAGCCUUCUAGAGGUAGAAUAGCUGUAUUUUAAUUUUUUUUUAUAUCCAUAAACCACAGUAUCAUAAAGUCAGUUUCAAGCUGUUCAUAAAAAUAUAUUUUCUGUGAGUAGAGGAAACAUUUGUGAAGAAACAGAUGAUUUCUUUGGCAUGCAAAUGGAGUUUAUCAAGGUAAUACAGCAAUAUGCAUCUGCCAGCUGGGGUCAGGGCACCACACCCGAUUUAAAUCACUGAAUUAAUGCAGGGGGACAGGUUUGAUGGCCUGCUCUCACCCCUCCCUUUGCAAUGAAACCCAGGGAUGCCACCAAGACUCAGACAUUGAGAGUGCUGCCAAACUCCUGUCCUUCCUUCCACUUAAGUUUAAUGUUGGUUUUAGAACUUUCAUACCCAAAAUCUGGGAAGAGAGUUAAGAUCGCUCUAAUUAUUUUUAAACACAUGCAGGUUCUCAUGAUUUUGUUUGCUGCUAUUGUAUUGACAUUUUAUUGUAUUGAUAUUUUAUUGUAUUGGUAUUGUAGCACCCCACAAUUGGUGUUUAGUGCUGCAGAACUCCCUUUGGAUUAGAGAUGAGAGUGCUUUAGGAGACUCCAGCUUUACCCAGAUGACCUCUCUCAAAUUCAUUUUACAAGGUGAAGGCCAGACCCCAGUUCCUAGUUCCUCUCUGUAUAAUUGAAUUUGAAAUCAAUAGCGUUAUGGAUUUUAAAAAAUAAAGAAAGUCUCCUUUUUUUCUCAAUGGUAUUUGCACAACACAAAUUUGCCAUAGGUAGAUCAAUGACUUUAGGCUACUGUAGUGUGAUAAAUCAGUGUCUCUUACAACUCUAAUCCUUGUAUCCAAACUAUUUUUAACUUCAGGAUCCUCUCAAUUGUCAUUUUUAACUCCAGGAUGCUCUCAACUGUCAUUUGAACUGACACUCAUUAAAAACCUUCAUUUGUUUUGAUUAUGCUGGAAAAAGUUAUUCUGAAGUCUUUCUCCAACUGUGUAAAUGUUUAAUCAUUCAGGCUUGGUACAGGAUGAAAAUAAUCUCUUCCUCAACUUGAAAUGAGAUCAAAAUGACACAGAUUUGCCACCAGUAAAAACUCAUUUUCUGUUUGCUUUAACAGAGUGGUUUCAGAAGCUAAAGGAGGAUGUGAUGCCUGUGGGUAGCUAGAGCUGGUCACGUCUGUGCGUAAUUGUUGUGUAAAAACAGAAUUUUGGAUUGUGGUUGUUAAAAGAUGUUGCUGUUUGGAAUUUUUAAGUGCUUGAAGCUAAGCAUGGGUUAGGCCUUGGAGGCCUGAAGCUGCAGCUGCUGAUAUUUUGGGGAGCACUGAUAAUGAAUAGGCAGAGGAAAGAUGGGAUUUAUACAGGACAAGACCACAGUCAUUUGGUUGCUCAAGUCAUUGACAAAUUCAUGAUAAUCUUCAUGAAAAGCCCUUGGAAAAUAAUCCAAGAAAGCAGUCAGGAUAAAAAUAAUGUUUUACCCUUUUUUGUUCAUGUAUCAGUGAUGUAGCUGGAUGUGAAAAUGCUCUGAAUGAUGUUAUGAACAUAAUUAUUGGCAUUAUUACACUGCAGAUAACGGAACCCCAGAUUUGCAGUUGCUCAGUUAACCCUGUUAGCAAGACAAACGGCAGCAGCAAAAUGCGCAUUAUUGGAGCACGAGCAGAAUUAUUGCUGGUUUUGUUAUUGUCAUUUUGUUCACUUGUAAAAGUGAUCAACACAGAGGCAGCUUGGCAGCUGGGGAACCCAGCACGAGGGGGGAUGUUUGGGCGCAGGGACUGUCUGUGCCCUGGCUCAGAGACGUCGCAUUUCCGAGGCACUGAAGCUCCCGGCAAAGACUUGGAGAAUGUUAAUGACUUUUAGCUGGUUUCACUGGAGCCCUGCGCUCUCUGGGCAGCCUGGGCUCUGCUCUCACCCACCUCCCUGCUUAUAAACCAUGUCACAGCAUCCUAGGUGGUCCAGGGCUGUGCUUUGGCUUGGCAUUGAUACUUUUAUCUUCCUAGGAAGUAGAAAAGGUCAAACAGUUAAUGAACUUAUUUUAAGGAAUAUCAAGUCCUGUUCCAGGCAGAUAUUCAGCUCUGACAACAUCGGGUGCCUGAGCCAAGGGCCCAUUUUGUUGUCCAGCAGCUCCUGCUGAGAAACCCAUUUUGUAGAUAAUAGAGAGCCCACUCCAGGGUGGGAGGCAGUGGAGGAAAGCUGCUCCUUGGAAAGGUCUCUCCUUCAAUAGCUGCAAGUUCAGGGGAAUUUGUGCAUCUCCAGCAGUCUGGGAUACCUGGCAGAGCUGCAGCAAGCAGGUUUCAGGGAGACAGGAGCAGGUUUUAUAGCUGUGAACUCCAAUUCCACACUCCAAAAAACCCCAUACCUUUCUGUUCUGCCAACACAGGACAAGAUGACAACAGCAGGCUUUUCUUUUAAAAAUAAGUCAUGCCAUGAAUAUUCAGCUAUAAAUCAUAGAUCUCAACCCUUUGGGGGAGUAGCCAUCCAUUUUUUUGCCAUCCAAAAAAAUUUCUAAACUGUUCCUAGAGACAGUGGGAUAUUGAACCGAGUUUAAUAAAACAGGGGUGUAACAUUGAGGCACUCGUGGUUCACCCAGAUAAAAAAUUCCUGUGGGAUUUCUCUCUCCUCCUUGCUGCUGCCUCUCUCACUAAUCUACUGCUGCACAUCUUCCCUGACGAAUUAAAAAUUCUCUAUCUACAUUUAUUUCUAUCUAGGUGAGGUUUUUAAAUCAGUUUAUCCGCCAGCAGCCAAAGAGUGCUGUGAAAACAUCUCCAGCCGCUGCGGUGAGCCGCUGGUGACCCGGAAUGUUCUGCUUGCCGUGAUUCCCUUGGGAGUUUAUUGGAUCACAGCACAUCUGGGCAGAGGUCAGAGCUGCUCAGGAAAACAGGCAAGCCUGGCUCGGCUUCUUUUUAAGCGCCAAGGUGUUGUUUGGCUCCGUGAAUCCCUCCUUGCAGCAAUCGGGCACAGUGCUCCCGAGUUAAGGACAGGAAUUGAUGGAGGAAAUCCAUUCCUUAGCAAGGAAUUUUUGCUGUUUAUGGCAUUUUUAGAGUCUUUAGGAAGCACCUGUAGAAAUGGCGUGGGACAAUACAGAAAAUUAGAAAUACUCUGUAUGAAUAGUUACCUGUUUCGUCCAGAAGUGGAGCAAGCACAGCCUGAUUGGGAACAUGACUUAGAAAAUCAGGCAAUAUUAAUAAAAAGGACAGUGGGAA